ensembl:lncRNA
GACCAGAUGAGGAGUGUGUUGCUGCGUUGGCUGUGAACUUACAAAGCUCAUCACUGUUGAAUUAUAUAUCCACCUCGACAACAUCCACUUCCUCACAGAUAGCAAUGCGACAUUGGGCUGCGGAGGUCUGUCUUUGGGAAUAACCGAGUCCAACAGAUAAGGAGAUCAACAAAGCUUGAGCAGUGGACCUUUGUGAAUUGAAGACCUCUAACACUAUUGUGUACAGAACCAGAGGAUCCUUUCCUACUCACCCCUGCAAAAUUACUUACCCAGAAGGUCUGAUGACUUCUACUGCAAGGAUUUGAACAAGCGCCAGUGGAGACCGGCAGAGAGCCUCGCCUAGACCAUUUGGGACAGAACACCACACAACGCUUCGUGGCGUUGCUUUUCGGAGGAUGCCUAAUUACCUCAAACCCUGCCAGAGAGGAGGAUGGGUUCCAACAGCGCUGGGAGGCGUCGGGCUUGGCUAGACCUCCUCCGGUCACUUGGAGGUGCUUAGCGAUAAAGAGGCGGUUUUAGGGAUUUAGCAAAUGUAUUGUGUUGUAUUGUGUAUAGUGUUGUUGGGAUAAGCAUCAACUUUAUGAAUACCAGAUGGGAAUUCAGGUGUCUGUAAACAAAAUAAGAAUAUGUAAAGAAUCACAAAAAAUAUGAGCAGUAGAAAAUGCAUAAUGUAAAUGUUACGAUUAUUGACAGUAGAGGUAACAAUCGUUGUUCUGACAUUAUUAGGAGAUUUACAUUAUAAUUAAAUAAGUAUUAGGUGAUAAAUACAACUGGUUUUAGCAGGUGGAUUCUGUCCUACUGUAUCUGCUCUAAGAUGCACAGAGUUUGUUAUGGUAACGACGUGGGAAAUUUGUUUGUAUGUAAUAGUGUAAUCUUGUGAUUCAUGCAUUUUGAAAUGGGGGACGAUCAGAUUUCCCAGGUUGCACAAAAGUGAAAAUUCAUUAGUAUGUGCUCCGAACACAAAGCACUAACUAUGACAACUAUCAUUUGGAGUGCCUUUCACAAAACCAGAGAAGCUGGUGAGAUAAAAAGGGUGAUUAAAAUCAAACGCAUAGAGAAAAUAAAACCUUCCACCCGAAGCAUGAGGCUGGCUCCGGAGACAGAAGCAGAUCCAUCGCUGACAAAAUAAUGCCAUCUGUAGAAAUCCUUUUUAGAAAUAACAUAAUGUACGCCAUUUAGAGGUCGCUUUUUUACAAAUUGUCUCAAUACACCGUGAGUUAAUCGUUCCCUCAGCAUGGGUGGGAAUCAACGGUAAUCGAGCCACUGACCCAUGUUCUUCUCGUCGAGCAGUUCCCUGUGCACAAGGCUUUCCCAUCACGCUGAACAACAAAUAAUAUAUAUAUUUUGUUUUGGUUCGUUAUUUUCACAAAUUCGUCUCACAGUAAGAGAGGGGAAAGUAGACAAACAUCUACAUAUUGUUAGUGUCAUCUUCCCCUCUGAUGCCAAACAAACAAUCUUUUUUCUGUACUACGAGAGGUGAGGAAGGUGUCUUCCUUAAAGAACACAAAACAAUCUUGCUUUCAGGCACCUUGGUCGUCAUUUAAUUGCAGAGUGAUAACACAGGAGCUGUUGACUCAAAUCACUUUAUUUGAAAUCCAUUGAAACAAAGAGUCAAAUAUUUACCAAUCCCUGUCUCAUUAAACAUCCAGGGUGAUAUUACAUUGAGCAAGAAACAUAAACACAGACAAUGUUCCUAUACACUUGAAAAAAAUUGAAGGUGGCUAUUUUGGCCGACACAAAAUGGCAAACCGCAUUCAAACUUUUCCCCCAUUGUAGCGCUGCUUCCGAUUGUUCAACAACACCACUUGGACGAUCGGGGCCGUUUCCCUCUUGGGCCUGUCCCUUCCCACGGCGACUCGUGAAUCAAACAGCCCAUACAUCACACUGACUAUAUUAUGCUCCGUCCAAAUCGCCUCAUGUUGGACGGCAGUCAAAACACGCCACAACAGAUUUGGUCGUACCUUUCAUCAGGCCUUCAAAGCCUAAUGAUACCUCUGUGUCGAACAGCACCCCUAGGGGCACUGUGGGUCUCCACCAUCACCCCCGGGGCCAUCGGAGGACGUCGCCGUAGGGUACGCCCGUCUCUCCUGGAAAAACGUUCAGUUGAGGAGCUCACGCCAUUGAUUGGCUUCUGGCGACUUUUGAACCAUAAACGUGAGCGUCGGCAUAAUGACCGGAUGGCGUAGCGUCGGCCGCGGCUAUAAGACCAGGAAGUAAGACGGGGCCCUGGGGGCAGAGGCUCCAGGCGCAGCCGUCUAAUUGGGUGUAACGUCCGUGUCAGGCGGCGCUAGACUGUCUGUUCCCGCUUCUUCGCCGACCAACGCUGCUAUGCUUUCCCUCCGACAAAGGUCACGACAGGUCAAGCUAAUUGGAGACCCUAAAUUGCUCACUGCUUCCUCAGAGAAUGCCGUGUGUGUGUGUGUGUGUGUGUGUGUUUGUGUGUGUGUGUGUGUGUGUGUGUGUGUGUGUGUGUGUGUGUGUGUGUGUGUGUGUGUGUGUGUGUGUGUGUGUGUGUGUGUGUGUGUGUUUGAAAGAAAGUGAGCCAGAGACAUACGAGAUAGAAAGCCAUUGAUUGAGAGAGAGUUAUAUAGGGAGAGACAGUGGUUCAGACAGUUUGUGCGUGACUCUGUGUGUCUGUCUGUUUCUUUGUCUCUAUGCCUGGUUCAGCGGGAGAAGGAGCCGAAUAGAGACAGAUCAUGUGUGACUCAUGUGGUUGUGGCAUGCGGUUGUGUGUAAAGAGACAGAUAGAGACAGAUAGAGACAGAUAGAGACAGAUUGAGACAGAUUGAGAUGGAUAGAGAUAGAGAGGGAAGGAAUGAUGGAUAGAAAUAGAGAUGGGGUGAGAGAGCAGUGAUUGAGGCAGAGAUUGUGCACUUAUUUGUGUGUGUGUGUGUGUGUGUGUGUGUGUGUGUGUUGUGACUGUUUGCAAGCUUGUGUGUGUGUGUGUGUGUGUGUGUGUGUGUGUGUGUGUGU